CCAUUACACUGACUCCAAUACUUUUGCCCUCAACUCCAUUUUCCCUCUUAAUUCUCAUUCCCAACUCCAUCAACAGACCACCACCGACCUUGCCUUCCCAUCACAUUCUUAGGUCUGGUUUCUACCGCUUUGCUUGCCUCUCCACUAGAUUUCUUUCUUUCCAUUCUCCGCUGCUCUAUGAACAUACUCUCGCUCCCUCUCUAACCUUAAAUCCAGAGAGCAGCCACCACGUCUCAUGUCUCCCACCACCAUCCUCUCCCACCUUUACAAUCGCCUACCUGUGCUAAUAUUAUCGUACUCCAAACGCAGCGCCUGAAGGAAUCUCUCAAUGACAGUAAUAGAAACACGGAGACUGGAAUGGGAGAAAGAGAAAGAGGAAGGUGGAAUUCGACUUUAUAUACUUUUAAUCUACAUUCUCUCCAUAGUUAACCAUUAUAACACCCAAGGACAAAAUGGUCCACUACAUAAAAGACCGAGAAAAUACAACAAUAUAGUCGCCCACAUGCACAAGGGUAAAAUGGUCCAAAUGACAAAAGGCAUUCCCAUGAUAUGAUGCCUCGUUACUAUUGUCAUUCUUUAAACCAUAUGAAGCACGGGUGGCGAUGCAUUUCCUUAAUCAUGUUGUUCAUAGAUGUCGGUGGUGUUUUGGUCGGAAAAUGGGAUAAGUUAUCAAUUUUGAAAGAACAACGUUAACAAUUUUGAAAGAACUUGGUGAAAAGUUACCAGAUAUCGGCCUUAGUUAUCAGUAACCAUUAAUGAGAUGUGAUGAUCUAUCCGAAGAGUCAUGUGGGGAACAAAUGGAAUCCUGUAUGUACUAUUACUCAACUUUUAUAACACAUCAAAAAAAACAUCUUUCAAUUGUACACAUUCCUUAUGCCUAAUGAUGUCCUUUCAACCGUUGCCAUAACUGACGUCUCGUGUUCAAGCAAGAAAUCAACACCGGACGCUUGCUAUGCUUUAUUCUGUUUUUUUUACAGUGGUAGUUUUCCAUGAAGAAUGGAAUCAACGAAGGAAUGAAAUUAUUCAUUCCAUUGCUAGAUGGAAUGGAAUGGACCAUUCCCUUCUUCGUAUUUUGUUAAUUUUUCAUUGUUUGUUGAGUAAAUGUUUUCCUUUUUUCUUU